GUGCACUUGCAGUAUAAAUAAUGCUUAGAAAACGUGUGGCACCCUCCCCAGUGGUGGAUCUAGGUGGUGGUGAGCUAGGGCGGCUGGCCUAGCUGGAUUUGUUGAUUGCCGGAGGAAGAGAGCAGAAAUUUGCAGACAGAGACCGAGAGAUGCACGUGAAGAAAGAAGAAGAGGAAGAGGGGAUUUUGGCUGGUUGUAAAUCUGAUGAGUUGGGCUCCCUAUCUAGAUUCACUGAUCGUCGGAGGAAGAGAGUAGAAAUUUGCAGACAGAGACCCAGAGACGCACGCGAAGAAAGAAGAAGAGGAAGAGAGGAUUUGGGCUGGCUGUAAAUCUAAUGACUUUGGCUGUUGGGCCAACAUCGCUGCUUUUUCACUCUUUUUUCUUAACUACUAAUCUUUAUGCAUACUUGACUCUAUAGGGAUACAUGGCGUUGGACAAAAUCUAGAAUAUUUGGAUCAUUUUGGAUUUCG
rnacentral:lncRNA from 1 species